GAUGAACGCUGACAGAAUGCUUAACACAUGCAAGUCGAUUCAAGUUACCUUCGGGUAAUGAGGAUGGCGGACGGGUGAGUAACGCGUAAGGAACUUGCCUCUUGGUCUGGGACAACUGUUGGAAACGACAGCUAAUACCGGAUAUUAUGAGAUUCUCGCAUGGGAAACUUAUGAAAGCUAUAUGCGCCAAGAGAGAGCCUUGCGUUCCAUUAGCUAGUUGGUGGGGUAACGGCCCACCAAGGCGACGAUGGAUAGCCGGCCUGAGAGGGUGAACGGCCACAAGGGGACUGAGACACGGCCCUUACUCCUACGGGAGGCAGCAGUGGGGAAUAUUGGACAAUGGGCCACAAGCCUGAUCCAGCAAUUCUGUGUGCACGAUGAAGGUCUUCGGAUUGUAAAGUGCUUUCAGUUGGGAAGAAGAAAGUGACGGUACCAACAGAAGAAGCGACGGCUAAAUACGUGCCAGCAGCCGCGGUAAUACGUAUGUCGCAAGCGUUAUCCGGAUUUAUUGGGCGUAAAGCGCGUCUAGGCGGAAAAAUAAGUCUGAUGUUAAAAUGCGGGGCUCAACUCCGUAUUGCGUUGGAAACUGUUUUUCUAGAGUACUGGAGAGGUGGGCGGAACUACAAGUGUAGAGGUGAAAUUCGUAGAUAUUUGUAGGAAUGCCGAUGGAGAAGUCAGCUCACUGGACAGAUACUGANGCUGAA
rnacentral:rRNA from 1 species